rnacentral:siRNA from 1 species
GUGGAGUCACUGUUGGGAGAG